rnacentral:lncRNA from 1 species
AUUCUAAGUUGGAACAUGGUCAAACGUUAGAUUAUGAAAUCCUUGACUUCUAACCUCUGCUGAAACCUUUCUCAGAAGAAACGCUGAUUAGCCCUUCCUUAAUUUUAGUUCUUUGUUCUUCCAUGAGCCAUCAAAGGAAGAGGAAUGAGUCCAACUUACAGGAAAUAUUUUGUAAGAGACAGAUGCUUCCACGUAAAAGGUUGUUGGG